CAGUCGCCGCGGUAAAACAGAGGGUGCAAGCGUUAAUCGGAUUUACUGGGCGUAAAGGGCGCGUAGGUGGUUAUGUAAGUGAGAUGUGAAAUCCCCGGGCUCAACCUGGGAACUGCAUCUUAUACUGCGUAGCUGGAGUGCAGUAGAGGGUAGUGGAAUUUCCGGUGUAGCGGUGAAAUGCGUAGAGAUCGGGAGGAACAUCAGUGGCGAAGGCGGCCAUCUGGGACAACACUGACGCUGAGGCACGAAAGCGUGGGGAGCAAACAGGAUUAGAUACCCCAGUAGUCCCUGUCUCUUAUAC
rnacentral:rRNA from 1 species